rnacentral:rRNA from 1 species
UACGUAGGGCGCAAGCGUUGUCCGGAAUUAUUGGGCGUAAAGAGCUCGUAGGCGGUUUGUCGCGUCUGCUGUGAAAACCUAAGGCUCAACCUUGGGCUUGCAGUGGGUACGGGGCAGACUAGAGUGCGGUAGGGGUGACUGGAAUUCCUGGUGUAGCGGUGGAAUGCGCAGAUAUCAGGAGGAACACCGAUGGCGAAGGCAGGUCAC